rnacentral:rRNA from 1 species
UACGAAGGGUGCAAGCGUUACUCGGAAUUACUGGGCGUAAAGCGUGCGUAGGUGGUUUGUUAAGUCUGAUGUGAAAGCCCUGGGCUCAACCUGGGAAUGGCAUUGGAUACUGGCGAGCUAGAGUGCGGUAGAGGGUAGUGGAAUUCCCGGUGUAGCAGUGAAAUGCGUAGAGAUCGGGAGGAACAUCUGUGGCGAAGGCGACUACCUGGACCAGCACUGACACUGAGGCACGAAGGCCAGGGGAGCAAACGGG